ACAGGCUUAACACAUGCAAGUCGAGGGGCAGCAUGGUCUUAGCUUGCUAAGGCCGAUGGCGACCGGCGCACGGGUGAGUAACACGUAUCCAACCUGCCGUCUACUCUUGGACAGCCUUCUGAAAGGAAGAUUAAUACAAGAUGGCAUCAUGAGUCCGCAUGUUCACAUGAUUAAAGGUAUUCCGGUAGACGAUGGGGAUGCGUUCCAUUAGAUAGUAGGCGGGGUAACGGCCCACCUAGUCUUCGAUGGAUAGGGGUUCUGAGAGGAAGGUCCCCCACAUUGGAACUGAGACACGGUCCAAACUCCUACGGGAGGCAGCAGUGAGGAAUAUUGGUCAAUGGGCGAGAGCCUGAACCAGCCAAGUAGCGUGAAGGAUGACUGCCCUAUGGGUUGUAAACUUCUUUUAUAAAGGAAUAAAGUCGGGUAUGGAUACCCGUUUGCAUGUACUUUAUGAAUAAGGAUCGGCUAACUCCGUGCCAGCAGCCGCGGUAAUACGGAGGAUCCGAGCGUUAUCCGGAUUUAUUGGGUUUAAAGGGAGCGUAGAUGGAUGUUUAAGUCAGUUGUGAAAGUUUGCGGCUCAACCGUAAAAUUGCAGUUGAUACUGGAUAUCUUGAGUGCAGUUGAGGCAGGCGGAAUUCGUGGUGUAGCGGUGAAAUGCUUAGAUAUCACGAAGAACUCCGAUUGCGAAGGCAGCCUGCUAAGCUGCAACUGACAUUGAGGCUCGAAAGUGUGGGUAUCAAACAGGAUUAGAUACCCUGGUAGUCCACACGGUAAACGAUGAAUACUCGCUGUUUGCGAUAUACAGCAAGCGGCCAAGCGAAAGCGUUAAGUAUUCCACCUGGGGAGUACGCCGGCAACGGUGAAACUCAAAGGAAUUGACGGGGGCCCGCACAAGCGGAGGAACAUGUGGUUUAAUUCGAUGAUACGCGAGGAACCUUACCCGGGCUUAAAUUGCAGAUGAAUUACGGUGAAAGCCGUAAGCCGCAAGGCAUCUGUGAAGGUGCUGCAUGGUUGUCGUCAGCUCGUGCCGUGAGGUGUCGGCUUAAGUGCCAUAACGAGCGCAACCCUUGUUGUCAGUUACUAACAGGUUCCGCUGAGGACUCUGACAAGACUGCCAUCGUAAGAUGUGAGGAAGGUGGGGAUGACGUCAAAUCAGCACGGCCCUUACGUCCGGGGCUACACACGUGUUACAAUGGGGGGUACAGAGGGCCGCUACCACGCGAGUGGAUGCCAAUCCCCAAAACCUCUCUCAGUUCGGACUGGAGUCUGCAACCCGACUCCACGAAGCUGGAUUCGCUAGUAAUCGCGCAUCAGCCACGGCGCGGUGAAUACGUUCCCGGGCCUUGUACAC
rnacentral:rRNA from 1 species